GGAGAGGAGAGGAGAGAGAGUGAAUUCAUCUUCUUCACCAAUCUUCAAGAUCCAUAGCCAAAUUUCCUUCUCAACUCUCAAUUUGUUCGGAUUUAAGGUGAAAUUUGGGGAAAAUCAUCCAAGAUCACUUCUAAGGAAUUGUUGACCACUUUGAGCUCAUAUUCACCUUGCUGUUGUCGUGGAUGGGUUUGGCUAGUUAUUUGAUGUUGUCUUUAUCAUAUAUUUUGAAGACUCACAGGUUGUGAAGCGGCGUAGAAUUCUCACCUAUCAGAAUGGAUGCAAGCCAUGCCGCUGUUUACAGGUUGCAAAGCAGUGUAGAGUUCGAAGGUUUCAGGGAAUUUGAGGUAUAUUAUGGUGUUCAAACUCGUGGAGAAAGGCUGCAUUUUAUGUGCACUCAGAAAAGCACUUUCAAAAAAGAAAGGUCCGUGACUACAAUAAUUAAAGCAUUAGUAUGAGACAAGUUCUCUUAACAUAUUUUCCCGUAACUUGCGGUAUUGUGUUCCUUUUCAUUGUCAGUUAAAUAUUAUGUUAUUUAUAUGUUUUGGAAUAUUGUGUUUGGUGCCCGACGUUACCCGUUCGAAAUGAUAUAAUUAUAGAUUUUUUUAAAAAAAGUGGGUAGUUGGGCCCACAAAGAUGGUACUGAAGAAACGAUAAUAUAUUUCUCCAUAUAUUCUUUUGUAUGUUUAUUUAUUAAAAAUUGUAAUGUGGCAGACAUUGCUUUGGGAAUUGGCCUACCACAAAGGUAAAAACACUAUAGUGGCACAAGAUCCAAACUAUUUUUUAUAAUAAUGUGUCAAGACAUUUUGUUCGUAA